rnacentral:rRNA from 1 species
CCUACGGGUGGCAGCAGUGGGGAAUAUUGGACAAUGGGCGAAAGCCUGAUCCAGCCAUGCCGCGUGUGUGAAGAAGGCCUUCGGGUUGUAAAGCACUUUCAGUGGGGAAGAAAGCCUUGGGGCUAAUACCCUCGAGGAAGGACAUCACCCACAGAAGAAGCACCGGCUAACUCCGUGCCAGCAGCCGCGGUAAUACGGAGGGUGCGAGCGUUAAUCGGAAUUACUGGGCGUAAAGCGCGCGUAGGCGGUCUGAUAAGCCGGUUGUGAAAGCCCCGGGCUCAACCUGGGAACGGCAUCCGGAACUGUGAGGCUAGAGUGCAGGAGAGGAAGGUAGAAUUCCCGGGGUAGCGGUGAAAUGCGUAGAGAUCGGGAGGAAUACCAGUGGCGAAGGCGGCCUUCUGGACUGACACUGACGCUGAGGUGCGAAAGCGUGGGUAGCAAACAGGAUUAGAUACCCGAGUAGUC